GUCUACGGCCAUGCCAUCCUGAACGUGCCCGAUCCUAUCUGAUCUCAGAAGCUAAGCAGUAUCGGGCAUGGUUAGUACUUGGAUGGGAGGCCACCUAGGAAGACCAGGUGCUAUAGGCA
rnacentral:rRNA from 1 species